UACAGAGGGUGCGAGCGUUGCUCGGAAUUACUGGGCGUAAAGCGCACGUAGGCGGCUUUCUAAGUUAGAGGUGAAAGCCCGGAGCUCAACUCCGGAAUUGCCUUUAAGACUGGAUCGCUUGAACACGGGAGAGGUGAGUGGAAUUCCGAGUGUAGAGGUGAAAUUCGUAGAUAUUCGGAAGAACACCAGUGGCGAAGGCGGCUCACUGGACCGUUGUUGACGCUGAAGUGCGAAAGCGUGGGGAGCAAACAGG
rnacentral:rRNA from 1 species